rnacentral:rRNA from 1 species
UAGCGAAAUUCCUUGUCGGGUAAGUUCCGACCUGCACGAAUGGCGUAACGAUGGCGGCGCUGUCUCCACCCGAGACUCAGUGAAAUUGAAAUCGCUGUGAAGAUGCAGUGUAUCCGCGGCUAGACGGAAAGACCCCGUGAACCUUUACUGUAGCUUUGCACUGGACUUUGAGCCUGCUUGUGUAGGAUAGGUGGGAGGCUUUGAAGCGUGGACGCCAGU